rnacentral:rRNA from 1 species
UACGUAGGUGGCAAGCGUUGUCCGGAAUUACUGGGUGUAAAGGGUGCGUAGGCGGGUAAUAAAGUCAGAUGUGAAAUGCCGGGGCUCAACUCCGGAGGCGCAUUUGAAACUUAUUAUCUUGAGUGAAGUAGAGGCAAGUGGAAUUCCCAGUGUAGCGGUGAAAUGCGUAGAUAUUGGGAGGAACACCAGUGGCGAAGGCGACUUGCUGGGCUUUAACUGACGCUGAUGCACGAAAGCAUGGGGAGCAAACAGG